rnacentral:lncRNA from 1 species
AUUUUUGACUGAUUUGAAUGAGCAAAUUAACAGAUUUUCUUUUCUGCCAUUGUAUAGACACAGCUCAAUUCAAGGGACAGAUGCUCAAAGCUAACUGCAUAUCUAUUCUGACCCAGUCUUACACACUUUGCAUUUUUCACUUCUGCUUUCCGGGGUCCAGAUGAUUGAAUAUCUGUCUUCUCUCAUUGAGCACCCACUCAGGAAACAGCUCCAUGAGUGUGGUGCCUCAGCAACAAGAUGGAAAUAAUGACAACUCCUACUGAUUUUCUGCCAGGGCAAAUAGCUAAACAAUUCUUAUUUGAAUUUUCCAAAAAUGUGAGGUUUCCACUACCAUUUGGAAGAUACGGAGCCAUUGUUUUGAUUGUCACGCAUGGACUUCCACUGAAGUGUUUUUCCUCAAAGGUAACUAGAUAUUCGUUACUACUGCUUUUCCUUAGAAACAAAAGUGUCCCAAUCAUAAUUAUAGGCUCAGAGCAAGGGAAACAGUAGGGAAGAAACCUAGAGCUCUGUAAACAUUACUGAAGAACCUUGCCAAACAUAUGCCUGAGUUCAGGUAUGGGGAAACUCAAGAGUUUAGCGUUCUUAAAAUGAUAUUUGAAGAGUGUUUCAAAAAAAAUAAGGUUUCAUCAGGGCUUGUAAAAAUUUGUAUUUAAAGGACGUUUUAGCCUGUCUGGUCAGGCAGAUAAUCUUCCCUCCCUAAAUCAGUGCCUCGCUGUUUUGUUAAGUCCACGGCCCAGCAGACUGAAACAAAAGGUGCGAAGUUCUUCUCAUCCAUCUUAAUGGGGUGUUAAUGACUGCAGAGGCUGACUGUGAGCAUUUAAAUGUGAGCGCUAUUAAUCACCUAGAAAAAAACACAAACACCCAGCUUGAGCCACUGAAACCUAACUGCAAGGGACAGUUGGGUCCAAUUUUGUCUUUAAAUGAAGACUUGUAUAAAAAAUAAAGUGAGCUGCCCCCAUGGCCGCUUGGCA